rnacentral:sRNA from 1 species
CACGGAGCGUUUUGGCUUUAACUUGUUGAUUUGUAAUGCCUGUUAGGUUAGCUCUCGUCAAUGGUGAUUGAGUCUGGGACUAGGUUAACUUGAGGGUCUCUGUUGCGGUGGCACUUAGAUUUGGUUAAUAAACUUGUUGUCUAGGGAUAAUUUAUUGAGCAUGUCAAUCACCUGUAAACUGAGGAAACGAAACUACUCAAUUACCCCAUCCUCGGGAAUUCUUUAUCUGAUUUAUUUUAUUGUUUAGUCUACUGUUGUUUACUGCAUCUUGUCCUUUGUUGCUUAGUUUCUGCAAAUUCUUUCCUGUUACUCGACCUGAUACUCGACCACCCAGUUGUCUGGCAAGAGACUGUGCAGUCGAGUGUCUUUGUUUUGUUUUCUUUCUGUUACUCGACCACACCCAGUGCUCUACAACGAGCUGUGUUGGUCAAGUGCUUUUACUAUUCUGCUUGAAUUUCUGUUUUCUGCAUGUUCACUUAGGACUGCUAGAACACACCAAACCUGUUAUUGCUUGGCUUGACUUAGUGACUUCUGAUCACAUUUUGAUUGUUAGCAUCACACCCAUUUUGAUUGACAACCUUCAGUACUACAACGACAUGAUAGUGCUUUAGGAUUAAUUGAUCUUA